CCUUGUGUUUAUAGAAAGAAGGAUACACCUAGCUUUCCAUUCCGAACCUAGAAGUUAAGCUUCUUUUCGCUGAUGAUACUGUACUUUACAAGUGUGGGAACGUAGGUUAAUGCAGGGA
rnacentral:rRNA from 1 species